GUCUGGGGACACUCGGUGAAGUGCCCGCUACUUUGGGCAAAGAAGGGAGGUAGCAUGGGCAAAAGGCUGAGGGGGGUCCUAGGAGGACACCUAUCAGAGAGGGGAGGAGGAAGGCAGGCUCGUCAGAGGUCGCCACCCCCACAGAAAACAGACUGGGGGCCCUGACCCGGCCGGGCAACCUGGGCGGCGAGCGCGGCCCCUGGUGCCAGGAGCGAGGCGGACCGAGAAAGAGCAGGUGAAAUUCUCGCCGCCUCCGGAUUCACCAGGUCCCGGGUCUCCUUUUCCGCCCGGUGAGGAGAUCACCGCUCGAGUAAUGAACUUAAUGCUUUAGGGAAAAGGGCUUUGCUUUUCCCGCCGUGGGCUCCGCACGGCGGACUGACAGGAGACUGCGCGCGGGAUGACCACCCUGGGGAGCCGCCAGAAGAACCGAACCCCUAAAAAUGCCCCUCGCUUCUCCACUCUUGGGGCUCUCCGCCAGCGGAGAGAACAGCACGGACGCUAGGCGGGCAGAUGGGCCCCUGCUCUGCCGCCCGCCGCCUCCCGUGAGGCUCCCGCGCUCCCCCUCGUCGCUCUUUCCCAGGCCCAGGAAUUCCCAGCCUGGCGCAAACUCUGCACCUGUCCACCCCGAGUGCUCCGGGCGGCCCAUCAAUCAGCCUAGUGGUUGCGGGGUAGCAGGCGAGAGAGGCUGAGCCCAGGAGUGGGGGUGGGGCCCGUUGUUCACGCAGCAGGACGCCCCACUGCCCUUGCCGGGUGCCUCUCCAGGUCUACUCGCCAGCUUUGCGUCCAGCCAUGUAGGAACUUUCUUCAUGUGACUCGAGGGCCUGCUGGGAUCCGCCAGGCUGGGGAAGCUGGGAGAGGCCUGAGCCCGACCAGGAGGGGCCCCCACCUAAGGUGCCAAGGUGCUUGCGACUCCCGACUCCUACCUUGGGGUUCGCAGCCCCACCGCUCCCGGCCCUCCCUAGCCCCAGUCUGGCGGGGGGGGCAGGCCUCUGGUCCGCCACAAAGCACAGCUAUGGAUUCUGCAAGAUGGGGGGGUGGGGGGAGUUUCCAGAAAGUCUCCACCCCCCUCUGCUUCUUUACAUCCGUCUACGCAGACCCCGGGUCGCCAAGGUUGCAGGGAUGAAGCUGUUGGCCCCGCACGCAAGCGCCGGGGUUGCCCCUCAGGUGCUCAGGACUCCGGGCGGGGAGCUAGCCGCCCUAGAACUCGGCCGCGGGGGCUCCUAGCAGCUGGCGCUACGGCGAAAGGAACUUCUCCAGGGGCCUAGAGCCUGGCCUGGCCUCAGGCAUCUCCCCUUCAAGUCUAGUCAGCAGACUAGGGAGAGGGUGGGGGUGCGCUGCACGCAACAACGAACCCCGAGCGCAAAGUCCGUGCUCCGCGCGGGAGGGAGGCGCAGGCGGGAGGGGCGGCGGGGCCGCGGCUGCCUCUAAGGACCCUUAGCCUCCGCGCUAGCGGCCCGGGGUCGGAACCUCCCACCGCCGCUUCUUCCUGCCUCCCCCUCCUUCCCCAGCCUCCGGGAACCCUGCGAGCCCAAGCUUCCUUCCGCGAGCUCCCCGGGGCCAAAACCCCAGCUCCCCGCCGGGAGCUGCAGCCUCGGGGUUGGGGGGCGCUUCUCCCUGGGGUGCAACUCCCCGGCCCGCGCGCCGCAGGGAGACACCCGCUGCCUCCCGAGGAACUCCUAAUACCAUCCAUACAGCUUUAAUGCGUUUAUAAUUCGAUAAGUGAUUUCAAUUUGAAAUUGUUAGUAACUAAUUUUAUGGGUAAUUUUUCCACAUCAAAUAUUUAAGCAUCAGAUUAAGGGAGCCAGUUCCGACACAGGAUAGUAAAGGGUUUCCCCCUCCCCCAGUCUCCCCCCCCAACACACACACACACACACACACACACACACACACACACACACACACACACACACACACACACACACACACACACACACACACACACACACACACACACACACACACACACACACACACACACACACACACACACACACACACACACACACACACACGGCCUGCGCCCCCGCCUCCCUAUGUUUCCUACCCAGUCAUUUUUCCAAAUCCCCAAAAGAUGGCAGUCGAAGCCGA